UGUGGUAUAGCUCAGUUGUAGAGCGCCUGCCUAGUAUGCAAGGGGUCCUGGGUUCAAUCCUUAGUACUGCCA
rnacentral:tRNA from 1 species